GCUGCUGCAGGCAGUCAUUUUGUGUGACGACGGCAGAAGCUUCAACACUGAAGAAGACACAACGCUUUCGCCACUUCAUAGUUUGGCUAGAAAUCAACAUAUCUCAUAACAGUUUAGCUCUUAAUCUUAACUAUCGCUUUUUUACGUGACUUUAAGUGAUAUUUUCCCCAUAUAUCUCUUUUUUUGUCGCCUUUUCAGAAGAGUUUCGAUCUACACGGCUGACCUGCCUUAGGCAGUAAAUCGAACAAUGGCUUCUCAAGUGGACUCGCACUCUGACAUGGCUCAGGCUCGUCAGACUGAUGGGCUCAAUGUGAUCUUCGACCAGAAAAGCCCCGGGUCCUCCCACUCUCGUUCCCGUUCUCGCUCAAUGAGCAGCAGCGCCAGCAGCAGCCGCUCCGGCAGAUCCGACUACAGGGGACGUAGAGGCAGCAGGGGACGCUACAGGUCUUCCUCGUCCUCCUCUUCAUCCGCAUCUUCUAGGAGCACGUCCUCUUCCCGCUCCAGGUCUCGCUCGUACCCCCGCUGCCACCGGCAGUCCUCCCGCUGUCGCUGUGAUGACCAUCGCCGGUACAGCCGCUACAGUCACCGCCGCUCCCCACCUCGCCGCUACAGGGCCCGGUCUCGCUCCUACAGCCGCUCACCCUCGCUGGACAGAUACUACAGUCAUCGUAGGUACUACAGGUCACGCUCCAGAUCUCGUUCCCGGUCUCCCGCACGCUGGAGCAGGUACAGGAGACCCAUCAGCCAGUUGAGAUGCAAAUUCUCCCCAUCCCCUUCCAGAACCUACAGAGGGCGGUCAAGAUCUAGAUCCCCCGGAAGAUCAGUCAGUCUAAGCUUGCAUGACAAAAAGAAACUCCUUGAAGUUGCCCAGGCCAAUGCUAUGCGGAUGCUUGGAGUGGCAAGACUUGAACUUCCUGAAAGUGUGAAACCAAUCCUUUCAGAGGAACAAGAACCUAAAAGGUCUUCACCAGAACCAAUGACAAGGUGGAAACAGGUCUCCACAAAGCCAGAGGUGGGUGUGUUGGUGUGCUUUGUCUCACAGCAACACCGCUGAAAACAGAAGGCUUUGAAACUUGGAACAGUAUUUUAUUUAAGAUUUGUACACAUGUAUAUGAAGUACUUAAAAAAAUCCUUUGUAAAGCAAUUUAUAAUUUCUAAGUUAGUGGUGAACAUUUUAAGUUUUACACCAAUGUAUAGUUUUUAAUAUAAACAUUUUAGGACUUUUUUCAUAUAUAUAUAUAUAUAUAAUCUCAGCAAACUAAUUUUCURCUGCUUAGCUUAAGGUUUGUGCUGUGUUGAAUUUCCUGUUUUGUUUAUCGUUUGGCCCCACGAGGGAACAAAGAUACUCUCUGUAUUUAUUCCUGUCUUCAUAGAUAACUUGACAAGCUCUCCUUCACUCAUCGGCACCUGGGAUUAAAGGGCUGACUUGGGUGACAACAAUAUUUGUUUGCGUUUUUUCAAAAGGUUGUCUCAUGAUGCUAGUGCAAUUAAGUCUUCAUGUACACAUUCCAUACAGCUGAGUCUGCCACUCGCUGAUGGAGCUCGAGCGUGUGGACGGCAUUAUARUGACUAUUGAAGAACUCUUCUCCGUAUGCCAAAGAUAAGUUGGUACACACAAUGUGUGCUGAGGGGCUGGGUAACCUGCGUCGCCAUCUUUUAACCAGUUUAGAAAAAGAUGUUUACACUUGUGCUUUUUGUUUUUGUCCAACAUUGAGGUCUGUCUUUCAAAUUUAAUUGUAGGAAAGUCUGCAUGAAAGCAGCACUACUUUUUUUUAUGCUGUAGUAAAUCCAGUAACAUUGAAGUCAUUAUGACUAGACUUCAGACUCUGAAGACUAAAGAUAAUUGACGUGUUUUUCACGCUUGAGUAACUUCGCAU